CGGGGCCUUUGCAGCCUCCAUACUUAGCGAUGGCCUCCUGGACCCACUUUCUCUCUCAAACUGUCUUUUCUCAUUCCUUUGACUCUGCUGGACUUCGUCAUCCCCACGACCCGGUGUUGAGUCUGAUCACCCAACAUCAUCAGGUAGCUAUCCAAAUUAAGGGUGACAAACUCAUGCCUUAGGAUGUAGGACUCUUCAGAGCAUGAGGUUUACUCAUUGAAGAAAGAAAGGAUAGAAGCUUCCCUCUCCUCCUCCAGACCUUGUGGUGUGCACGUGGGAGUCCAGGGACUAGAAUACUCAUUUUCAAAGCCUGACAUUGGACCCGGGAGACAGGGAAAAACCAUCCUCAGGAAGUCACAAGAGAAAGAGAGAGCACAGAGGUAUACAGCAUGUGAAACUUUGGACUGCUCAAAGAAGACAUUUUCAAACAUAUCUUUUCAGGACUGUCAAUAGGAACCGUAAGUGAGUUUCAGGUUCGCUCAUCUAAUUGUAGCAGUUAACUGACUGACAAGGUGAAGAAGGAUUGUGGUUUUCUGUUUCAGAUGGAAAAACUAAAAACAUAAGAGAAUCUCACAAUUAUCCACAUAUGCCCCAAAAGUUCAUACUACAGAAGAAUCUAUAUAUACUUAAACAGACUAUUGAGAAAAGUCAAGUUGUUUUUCUAUAUGAACCCAAUAAUGCAUUUUCAAGACACUGGAUAAAUUUAAAAAAAACGGGCAUUUUCCAGGAAACGGAAAGACUAGAAAUAAAAGUAGAAGAAAAAGGCUUAAACAAUAUUCUCCUUUAACUUUCUGUGAUACAUAUUCAUGCUAGUUUAAAAAAAAAAAUUCUCAAAGUAACUACAGCGGGAAUGUAGUAAGGUCACCAGAAGAAAUGUCCUGGGUCCAUUGGCCCAAUCUCUUACUGCUGGAUGAUGCGUGUGAAGAAACCAGAGAGGCGCAGAGUGAGGCAGUGAGGAAAUAAAAAUAGAGUCCGCGCUUUCAAGUGUUUCCUGAUCUGCUGGGGAAAAUGGUCAUAUUAACACAUGGAGUCAUGGCACAGUGUGUGCUAAGGAUCAUGGUAAAGGUGUACACAGUGAUUUGCUAACAAGAGGGAUAGAAGGUGUGGCUCAGGGAAUGACACAGCUGUCUGAAAGAGUCAAAAUGUACCACAGAGAACGUGACAGAGAUCUGGAUCUCAAAGAAAUGAGAGGUUGCCUAGGGAGCAACAACAAGGAGGGCAUUCCUGGCAGAGGAAAUGGCAUGUGCAAAGAGACAUCAAGAGGAUGAAGCAUUAGAAAUAUAACUAAAUUAUGGUUAUAGCUUGGGUGCCUAUUAAUAGAUCUGCUCAAUAUUAGGCAAAAACAAUAACAAUUGAGAAUUUGUAUAUCAUCUUUGGUGUCUUCUUUGAUAACUUAUUUUGUGUAUGUGUGUUUUUCUUUCCUGCUACUACUCUGGAGACUUGUUCCACUGGUGACCUUUAUGCAUUCUAAACAAUCGUAAUUUCACAGAGUAAGUUGUUCUCUUCUCCCUAUGUGUUUUGUCACUAGCCAUUGUUUUAAAGUAGCUUGCUUGGUUUUUUGUAUUGCAUCUUGUGAAAGCCUAGAUGCCUAGGGGCUUUCAUACAAAUGUAGAAGUCAAAAUACAUUUCUUCUUGGAAGGUAAUAAAGUGUGAAUGUUUUCAACAAAUAAAG
rnacentral:lncRNA from 10 species